rnacentral:misc_RNA from 1 species
AAGUCGUAACAAGGUUUCCGUAGGUGAACCUGCGGAAGGAUCAUUAAUGUAUAUUGAAUUUUAUAUUCUUUAUCAACCCACACUGUGUACCUUUUUACUGUUGCUUCCAUGGGACAUGGCUCUGCCACGUCGGCCUUAUGGCUGGUGAGCGCCCAUGGGAGGAAAACAAAACUCUUUGUUACAAUUGAAGUCUGUCUGAAUUGUUUAUAUUAAACGUUAAAACUUUCAACAACGGAUCUCUUGGUUCUC